rnacentral:tmRNA from 1 species
GGGCUUGUACUGGUUUCGACGGGGAUUUUGAACAUAGGGCAGCCAUCCGUGGUUCCGGGACCACGCUAAAACCUGGAAUUAAAUAUAAUCGCUGAAGAACAUUUAGCAUUCGCUGCCUAAGGGCAGCUGUCGGCCCUGAUUUGUCCGCUGGUCAGGAAACCGGCACCAUGUAGGCGGAACCCUCGUGCCCCUAAGCUUUGCCGGGUAUGAAGUAUGAUGAAGCUACUGAAGUCCGUAGUUUGCUUUUAGACGACGGAUAGAGGGAAUGUCAAAAUAGAGGCUGUGAUGGGAGAUACCGUAUGGGAUGGAUUUUCGGACGCGGGUUCGAUUCCCGCCAGGUCCA